CGUGGACUGAUCGUCAAUCAACGACAAAUGGUUGUAAAAAAAACUAUUAGAAACGGAGUAUAUCUCUACAAUACAGCGAGAAUAUCCCCCACCCGGAGGCAUAGAUUUCUCAAAAAAUCUCUGACAUAGAAAGAUGAAUUCAAAUAGGCUUGUAUUAUAAACAGUUAGUUUAAUCUUGUAACCAAAAAUUCAUAGUGUUUGGACUAUGAAAAACAAAUAUUUGCUAUUUCAUCACAAAACUACGGAAGCGUAUUAGCGCCACACAUUUUUUUUUAUUUUUAUGCCCCACCUACGAUAGUAGAGGGGCAUUAUGUUUUCUGGUCUGUGCGUCCGUUCGU
rnacentral:lncRNA from 1 species